UACGAAGGGGGCUAGCGUUGCUCGGAAUUACUGGGCGUAAAGGGCGCGUAGGCGGAUGUUUAAGUCAGCGGUGAAAGCCCAGGGCUCAACCUUGGAACUGCCAUUGAUACUGGACAUCUUGAGUACGGGAGAGGUGAGUGGAACUCCGAGUGUAGAGGUGAAAUUCGUAGAUAUUCGGAAGAACACCAGUGGCGAAGGCGGCUCACUGGACCAAUACUGACGCUGAGACACGAAAGCGUGGGGAGCAAACAGG
rnacentral:rRNA from 1 species